AUUGAACGCUGGCGGCAGGCCUAACACAUGCAAGUCGAGCGGAUGAAGGGAGCUUGCUCCUGGAUUCAGCGGCGGACGGGUGAGUAAUGCCUAGGAAUCUGCCUGGUAGUGGGGGAUAACGUCCGGAAACGGGCGCUAAUACCGCAUACGUCCUGAGGGAGAAAGUGGGGGAUCUUCGGACCUCACGCUAUCAGAUGAGCCUAGGUCGGAUUAGCUAGUUGGUGGGGUAAAGGCCUACCAAGGCGACGAUCCGUAACUGGUCUGAGAGGAUGAUCAGUCACACUGGAACUGAGACACGGUCCAGACUCCUACGGGAGGCAGCAGUGGGGAAUAUUGGACAAUGGGCGAAAGCCUGAUCCAGCCAUGCCGCGUGUGUGAAGAAGGUCUUCGGAUUGUAAAGCACUUUAAGUUGGGAGGAAGGGCAGUAAGUUAAUACCUUGCUGUUUUUACGUUACCAACAGAAUAAGCACCGGCUAACUUCGUG
rnacentral:rRNA from 1 species